UUAGAGUUUGAUCCUGGCUCAGGAUGAACGCUGGCGGCGUGCCUAAUACAUGCAAGUCGAACGAAUCUCUUUUAGAGAUGAGUGGCGAACGGGUGAGUAAUACAUAGGUAACCUGCCCCUGUGCGGGGGAUAACAGGAGGAAACUCCUGCUAAUACCGCAUAGCCAUGAGCACCGCAUGGAGCUCAUGCCAAAUAUCCUUUCGGGGAUAGCACAGGGAUGGACCUAUGGCGCAUUAGCUUGUUGGCGGGGCAACGGCCCACCAAGGCAACGAUGCGUAGCCGGCCUGAGAGGGCGGACGGCCACAUUGGGACUGAGACACGGCCCAGACUCCUACGGGAGGCAGCAGUAGGGAAUUUUCGGCAAUGGGGGAAACCCUGACCGAGCAACGCCGCGUGAGCGAAGAAGGCCUUCGGGUCGUAAAGCUCUGUUGUAAAGGAAGAACGGCGCAUACAGGAAAUGGUAUGCGAGUGACGGUACUUUACCAGAAAGCCACGGCUAACUACGUGCCAGCAGCCGCGGUAAUACGUAGUGGCGAGCGUUAUCCGGAAUCAUUGGGCGUAAAGAGGGAGCAGCGGCCGCAAGGGUCUGUGGUGAAAGACCGAAGCUAAACUUCGGUAAGCCAUGGAAACCGGGCGGCUAGAGUGCGGAAGAGGAUCGUGGAAUUCCAUGUGUAGCGGUGAAAUGCGUAGAUAUAUGGAGGAACACCAGUGGCGAAGGCGACGGUCUGGGCCGCAACUGACGCUCAUUCCCGAAAGCGUGGGGAGCAAAUAGGAUUAGAUACCCUAGUAGUCCACGCCGUAAACGAUGGUCACUAAGUGUCGGGGGUCAAACCCCGGUGCUGCAGUCAACGCAAUAGAGUGACCCGCCUGAGUAGUACGUUCGCAAGA
rnacentral:rRNA from 1 species